rnacentral:lncRNA from 1 species
UUUUAACAAGAUUUUCAAACGAAAAAAAUAUGAAUUGAGUAUAAUCACUUAAUUAUUAUUCAUUGAUUUUUAUCUCUUUGAUCGAUUAAAAACUUAACUCUAUUCUUUUUCAAAAAAAAAAAGAAAAAAAAAAGAAAUUGUCAUUUUUUAUGUCUUAACCAACACUUAUUUUAUGAAUAUUGUCCCGUCCAAUAUUUUUUUCUAAAAAUUUAAUAAGUUUAUAAAGAUUAAAAACAUAUUUAGCUAUUUAUUUUUUAUUUAGAAGCACCAACUUUUAUAAAGAUAAU